AGAGAGAGGCAAAGAGAGAGCGUGCUUUGAGAGAACUAUUGACUUUUCUAAACACAACAUUUUCAGACUAUAUUCACAUAAGAAGUACUGUAGAUCUCCAGCACUUAAAUUCAGACAGAAUACAAUAAUAAAAAUACACUUGACUUACCUUGAGAGACAGAGAAGACAUGAACAGAGUUAACAUGAGUGGUGUGCUCAUCUUCUUCAUGGUCGCCAUCGCUGCUGUGCAGGGACAAAAAUCAGGUUGAGAUGGUUUCUAUGGUUUUCUUUUUUCAAAUCAGUUGUCCUAUAUUUACAUGUAUUACAAUGUAGAGAUUGUAUUAAAUAAAAAAAUAUAUGGUUUAGUUAUAUAUUGAAAGUAUUUACAGUUCUUCUCAAUAGUAUACAAGCAAUUCUGGGAUCUGUGUUGAAACGUAUCCAUAGCAGAACAUCAAUGAUCAAAUGUUCAAAUACAUUUACAGAACUUCUGAUCAUUUUAUUGCCUUAGUACCUAACUUGCAUAUCUUACACCACCUUUUGCAAAACUUUAAAUACAAAUGUCAUCAGUGAAUACAAAACUCACUGUCAAGUGUUCAGUUCAAGAAUAUUAACACAUUGUUUUCAUCAGAAGAUAAAUGUUUCCUGCAAUCAGUAACUACUACUGCACAAAAGUCUCACACCAGUGUCAUACCAUGUACAAUAUAUGGAAAGAUCUAGGCAAUGGGGACUGUGUAAUUGUUAUGAUUUUUCACAAUAUUGCAGACAAUGAAGUUGGUUACUUUUACGUAACUUUGGGUUCCUCCUAAGUCAUCAUAGCCAACAUUGUGUCCUUCCAUUACAGAGCUUUGCUUUAAUGUGGAUUUAGGCCUAUACAUUCAUAUCAGGUAUGUUCCUCCAUUGUCCUCAACCUCCCUUAUUUCUAUUGUUGAUUGUGUUUCAGUGCACCAAUGAAAAGUCUACAAAACUAUAAGCAAACCAACCUUUGUAUUGAAUACAUGGAAUUGGAUUGUGAUGAUACCAAUGAACGAAUCCUGCACACAAUGUGCAUUUUUUUUAAUCAGGAAUAAUAUUUUGUGUAUGAAAUUGUUUGGAGAAAUAUGUGUCAAAGGAGAAUUAUUCCCCAUAAUUCUGCACUUUUGGAAAGUUGUACUCAAAUGUUUUAUCAUCAUGAUUAAGUGACUGCAAAGAAACUGUAUCUAUCUCCUGGGAUUUUUUAAAGACAGACUAACUUUCUGUUUUGUCUGCUUGGAAUCAAGAGAUAUGUAUAGCUGUGUCUAUCUUUUUGCAGGCAGUCGUGUUCUUUUGAUAAAUGUAUUUGCAAUUUUGAUGGUAUGAUAUAGUUUUGAUAAAUGUACUGUAUAUGUUUUGAGAAGGCAACUACAUUGACUGUCUUCCAACAGGCCAUAGAGUUCUGUGUCUUGUGGACUCUGUUUUGAAAAUCGACAACAUUGUCACAAACAACUGCUUGUACGUGAUUGAGAAAAACUGUAAUGUUGAAUGUCUUGCUUGGUGUCAAUUCAAUAAUUCAAUGUUAGGUCAUUUAAAAAAAAGUUAGCUGUGAAGUAAAUACUUUUUCGUAUGCAUUAAAUAAAUAAAUGUAAAGAGUAUGUGGAAAUGUCAAUUGUUUUUUUGUUUCAGGGUCUGUAUCCUUCUUGAGAAGCAUUGUUACUAUGACAUGUCCCGGGGGUGAAUUAAAGAAAAAAUAUGACUCCUCAUUUACAUGAAAUAAGAGUGAUAAAAGCAAAGGAAUCAUGAAUGACAUUGUGAAAACGUUAAAGGACAGUAUUACUGCAAUUCUUCAACUGUAAUUUAUCAGUUAUACAUCAAAGGAAAAGGUAAGAAAUGCCCCCAAAAUAUUUACAUCCACUGACACAUCUUUUUCCUUCUUCCCUUCAUACACCCUUCCCAUGUUUUAACAAAAUUUGACUACUAACCCUAUCUGUAUUGUUUUUUGGUGUUGCAGUGUGUGAGAACUGCGUUGAGCUGGAUGCGUCUGGUUACCGGGGUUAUUGUUGGGGACCUGCUGGUGACAGGAAGGGUCACCUUCAUUGUGUAUAGCUGGGCUCAGAAGAAGUCUGGACCUGCUGCACCCCAAAAACCGACGUCCCGCUCAGCAGGCCGUGGUCCACCAGUGGUGCCAAGUCCUGACUAUGAGCCCCUUAGCGAGGCAACCCGCAGAAGAGAUAUCUACGCUACACACUGGGUAGACUAUCCUCUCACCAGACCACACCUGUUCUCUAGGACCCCUCUGAUGCCCUGGACCAGCAGGCCUCAGCUCACCCUGCCAUCAAAGAGGAGGGGAGAAGGCUCUGUAGUUCUUAGCUUAGACUUAAAGAGCUUCUUAUUUUAGCUUGAUGUGUAAAAAGUGUGAUAUUAGGAUUUAGUUAAAACUAUCAUUUAGAAUUACUGUAACUAGCGGUAAUAAUUGCUCUGGAAAAUAGAGAUAUGAAGAUAGGAAGAUCUUUGUAACGACUUUAAGAUGUUUGCUGUACUGAAAAACAACUUGCACAUAGCUGUGUUGAUAAACCGUUGUAAAAUGGUAACAAUGCUUGCAGAUGCCAAGUUCUUCCUCCUCACAAUGUUUAUGCUGCCUGUAUAUACACUGAGUGUACAAAACACCAUCCUAAUAUUGAGUUCCACCCCCUUUUGCCCUCAGAACAGCCUCAAUUCAUUGGGUUAUGGACUACAAGGUGUCGAAAGCGUUCCACAGGGAUGCUGGCCACAGUAGUGUCAAGUUGGCUGGAUGUUCUUUGGGUGUUGGACCAUUCUUGAUACACACAGGAAACUGUUGUCUUGCCCAUUCACCCUCUAAAUGGCACACACACAAUCCAUGUCCCAAUCCAUGUCAAAGUUUAAAAAUCCUUCUUUAACCUGUCUCCCUUCAUCUGCACUGAUUGAAAUGGAUUUAACUAGUGAAGUCAAUAAGGGAUCACAGCAUUCACCUGGAUUAACCUGGUCAGUCUAUGACAUGGAAAGAGCAGGUGUUCUUAAUGUUUUGUGCAGCUAGCAUAUUAGCACAUAUACAGUUAUAUUUUGCAUUGAUUCUAUCUACUUCAUUGUGAGCCACUAUGACACAAAGGAAAUGUUUGUUUUAUGAAGUGUAGUGUCAUGCGACUAAAGAGUCUAGCUAGUUUGCGGUUCUUUAUCUUCAGUCGGCUCUCAUGCCCUAAGCCGUAGAUGCCUGCACCUCUUACGCUUACAGGAAAUGAUGGUGGAUGAUUGGCCAGGUCUCUCUGUUGCUAAUCAUGAGGAUCUCAUCGGAAACAUUUCACAUAUGAGUGUAGGUAGACUUUACUUACCCGCAUCAGUGGAAAGAAAACAUCUUUUUUUUUGCCUUACACUAACUUUGUGUUGCAAGAAUGUAGUGGAAAUAAUGUCUACUGCAUAUAUUUAAAAAAAUAUAUUUUGACAAGAAUAAAAACCUUCUUACGACA